rnacentral:lncRNA from 1 species
GAUGUCAAUUGCAGCCAAGUAAAUAUAAACUGUCCUUUCAUCUCAAUGGAUAAGUAAAGCAUACAAACACAGAUGCAAAUGAAGGUGAUAAAUAAGAAACUCUUCUUAUAAGAGCACCAACUUCAAUUUGUAGCUUUAGCCUUUACAGUGAUAGCAUUAGAAUCAUGCAGUACUUCAGUUUGCCUAUUUUCUUCAACAGCG